UUGGAGGGCAAGUCUGGUGCCAGCAGCCGCGGUAAUUCCAGCUCCAAUAGCGUAUAUUAAAGUUGUUGCAGUUAAAAAGCUCGUAGUUGAAUUUCGGGAUUUUACCGUUGGUCGGGCUAUCCAGUCUGUACUAGCGUGUAGAAUUUCUACCUUCUGGGGAACCAUCAUGUUAUUUAUUUAGCGUGGUGGGAAACCAGGACCUUUACCUUGAAAAAAUUAGAGUGUUCAAAGUAGGCUUACGUCUGAAUACAUUAGCAUGGAAUAAUAAAAUAGGACGGUGGUCCUGUUUUGUUGGUUUCUGAAUCACCGUAAUGAUUAAUAGGGAUAGUUGGGGGCAUUAGUAUUCAAUUGUCAGAGGUGAAAUUCUUGGAUUUAUUGAAGACUAACUUCUGCGAAAGCAUUUGCCAAGGAUGUUUUCAUUAAUCAAGAACGAAAGUUAGGGGAUCGAAGACGAUCAGAUACCGUCGUAGUCUUAACCAUAAACUAUGCCGACUAGGGAUCGGACGAUGUUAAAUAUUAUUGACUCGUUCGGCGCCUUACGGGAAAC
rnacentral:rRNA from 1 species